GACGAACGCUGGCGGCGUGCUUAACACAUGCAAGUCGAACGGAAAGGCCCUGCUUUGUUGGGGUGCUCGAGUGGCGACCGGGGGAGUAACACGUGAGUAACCUGCCCUUGACUUUGGGAUAACUUCAGGCAACUUGGGCUAAUACCGGAUAGGAGCUCCUGCCGCUUGGUGGGGGCUGGAUGGUUUCGGCGGUUGGGGAUGUACUAGCGUCUUAUCAGCUGGUUGGUGGGGUGGUGGCUUACCAAGGAUUUGACGGGUAGGCGGCCGGGCAGGGAGAACGGCCACAUUGGGAGGGAGAUACGCCCCAGCCACCUACGGGAGGGAGCAGGGGGGAAGGUUGAAUAAUGGGCGGAAGCCUGAUGCAGCAACCCCGCGUGCGGGAUGAAGGCAUGCGGGUUGUAAGCCGCUUUCGCUUGUGACGAAGCGUGAGUAACGGUAAGGGGUAAUGAAGCACCGGCAAACUACGU
rnacentral:rRNA from 1 species